AUUGAACGCUGGCGGCAUGCUUUACACAUGCAAGUCGAACGGUAACAGGCCGCAAGGUGCUGACGAGUGGCGAACGGGUGAGUAAUGCAUCGGAACGUGCCCAGUCGUGGGGGAUAACGCAGCGAAAGCUGCGCUAAUACCGCAUACGAUCUAUGGAUGAAAGCGGGGGACCGUAAGGCCUCGCGCGAUUGGAGCGGCCGAUGUCAGAUUAGGUAGGUGGUGGGGUAAAGGCUAACCAAGCCAACGUUAUGUAGCUGGUCUGCGAGGACGACCAGCCACACUGGGACUGAGACACGGCCCAGACUCCUACGGGAGGCAGCAGUGGGGAAUUUUGGACAAUGGGCGCAAGCCUGAUCCAGCAAUGCCGCGUGCAGGAAGAAGGCCUUCGGGUUGUAAACUGCUUUUGUACGGAACGAAACGGCUCUGGUUAAUACCUGGGGCUAAUGACGGUACCGUAAGAAUAAGCACCGGCUAACUACGUGCCAGCCGCCGCGGUAA
rnacentral:rRNA from 1 species